GACGAACGCUGGCGGCGUGCCUAAUACAUGCAAGUCGAACGAACCGCGACUAGGUGCUUGCACUAGGUCAAGGUGAGUGGGGAAAGGGUGAGUAACACGAGCGUACCCUACCUCAGAGUGGGGGAUAACAGACGGAAACGAAUGCUAAUACCGCUUAGGAACUACGUUCACAUCAUUUUGAGAGGAGCGUUGGCGCAAGCUUUCGCGAAGAGAUGGACGCGCGGUGCCUUAGUUAGUUGGUAGGGAAAAGGCCAACCAAGGGUAUGUUGCAUAGCCGACCGGAGAGGGUGAUCGGCCACAUUGGGACGGGGACACGGCCAAACCCCCUACGGGAGGCAGCAGUAGGGAAUCUUCCGCAAUGGACGCAAGUCUGACGGAGCAACGCGGCGUGAGGGAAGAAGGCCUUCGGAUCGUAAGGCUCUGUUGUUGGGGAAGAACAGCGCAUAGAGUAAAUGUUAGGCGUGUGACGGUACCUAACCAGAAAGCCACGGCUAACUACGUG
rnacentral:rRNA from 1 species